rnacentral:rRNA from 1 species
AACGAACGCUGGCGGCAGGCCUAACACAUGCAAGUCGAACGCCCCGCAAGGGGAGUGGCAGACGGGUGAGUAACACGUGGGAACGUACCCUUCGGUUCGGAAUAACUCAGGGAAACUUGAGCUAAUACCGGAUACGUCCGUAAGGAGAAAGAUUUAUUGCCGAGGGAUCGGCCCGCGUCGGAUUAGCUAGUUGGCGGGGUAAUGGCCCACCAAGGCGACGAUCCGUAGCUGGUCUGAGAGGAUGAUCAGCCACACUGGGACUGAGACACGGCCCAGACUCCUACGGGAGGCAGCAGUGGGGAAUAUUGGACAAUGGGCGAAAGCCUGAUCCAGCCAUGCCGCGUGAGUGAUGAAGGCCCUAGGGUUGUAAAGCUCUUUCAGCGGGGAAGAUAAUGACGGUACCCGCAGAAGAAGCCCCGGCUAACUUCGUGCCAGCCGCCGCGGUAACAC